GUUGUAAGCAGUAUUUCCAUACUAGCUUUUUGUACCGUCCAUUUCAAUCUUCUUUGAACAGUACGUUGUUUAUCUUUAUACUUAAAUUACAUUCUUUUAAUAUACUUCAUAAUUAUUAUUGAUCUUCGAUAUCUUUGUAAACGUACUGUAUUGAAAGGGUGCAUGUUGUAAGCAGUAUUUCCAUACUAGCUUUUUGUACCGUCCAUUUCAAUCUUCUUUCAACAGUACGUUGUUUAUCUUUAUAUUCAUAAUUAUUGUUGUGUUUGUAUUUAAAUCCCAUACUUUCGCAAAGAAGUUUGCAAUACUUCCUGGCCAAGGGAACCGUCAUUACUUGCUACUAUGAACAGUCUAUACCAAGAGUGCACAGUUUAAAGAAUCAGUUUGAUCCUGGAAGACAUUGACACCUCACUUGAUAAAUACUCUUUCAAGAACUUCAAGAGAUUGGCAGAUGGACAUUCGAGUGUGAAUUCAUACAAUUAUUGGAUCUAACCAAGAUGUAUUG